rnacentral:snoRNA from 1 species
GAGCUGUGAAGAAAUUUGCAUUAAGCAGUGAUUAAGGGUCUCUGCAAUCGUCUGAUUUAGAUGAUUAAAACUAGCACAUCUGAGCUC